CACUCCUGCGGGAGGCAGCAGUGGGGAAUAUUGGACAAUGGGCGCAAGCCUGAUCCAGCCAUGCCGCGUGAGUGAUGAAGGCCCUAGGGUUGUAAAGCUCUUUCACCGGUGAAGAUAAUGACGGUAACCGGAGAAGAAGCCCCGGCUAACUUCGUGCCAGCAGCCGCGGUAAUACGAAGGGGGCUAGCGUUGUUCGGAUUUACUGGGCGUAAAGCGCACGUAGGCGGACUAUUAAGUCAGGGGUGAAAUCCCGGGGCUCGACCCCGGAACUGCCUUUGAUACUGGUAGUCUUGAGUUCGGGAGAGGUGAGUGGAAUUCCGAGUGUAGAGGUGAAAUUCGUAGAUAUUCGGAGGAACACCAGUGGCGAAGGCGGCUCACUGGCUCGAUACUGACGCUGAGGUGCGAAAGCGUGGGGAGCAAACAGGAUUAGAAACCCUAGUAGUCCCAUG
rnacentral:rRNA from 1 species